rnacentral:rRNA from 1 species
AAACAUGUCUUUCUGUAAUAAAUAUAAAGUCUAACCUGCCCACUGAAAUUUUUAAAUGGCCGCAGUACACUAACUGUGCAAAGGUAGCAUAAUCAUUAGUCUUUUAAUUGGAGGCUGGUAUGAAUGGUUGGACGAGAUAUUAACUGUUUCAUUUAAAUUUAUAAUAGAAUUUUAUUUUUUAGUCAAAAAGCUAAAAUUUAUUUAAAAGACGAGAAGACCCUAUAAAUCUUUAUAUUUUAUUUAUAUUAAUUAAUUAGAUUAUUUUAAUUAUUAUAAAAUAAAAUAUUUUAUUGGGGUGAUAUUAAAAUUUAAUAAACUUUUAAUUAAUUUAAACAUUAAUUUAUGAGUAAUUGAUCCGUUAAUAACGAUUAAAAAUUUAAGUUACUUUAGGGAUAACAGCGUAAUUUUUUUGGAGAGUUCAUAUCGAUAAAAAAGAUUGCGACCUCGAUGUUGGAUUAAGAUAUAAUUUUAGGCGUAGCAGUUUAAAUUUUAAGUCUGUUCGACUUUUAAUUUCUUACA